GUGAAUCAUCGAAUCUUUGAACGCACAUUGCGCCCGCCAGUAUUCUGGCGGGCAUGCCUGUUCGAGCGUCAUUUCAACCAUCAAGCCCCCGGCUUGUGUUGGGGACCUGCGGCUGCCGCAGGCCCUGAAAACCAGUGGCGGGCUCGCUGUCACCCCGAGCGUAGUAGUUACAUCUCGCUCUGGGCGUGCUGCGGGUUCCGGCCGUUAAAAGCCUUAUUUACCCAAGGUUGACCUCGGAUCAGGUAGGAAGACCCGCUGAACUUAAGCAUAUCAAUAAGCGGAGGA
rnacentral:misc_RNA from 1 species